GGGUUUCUUGAAGAUCAAAGCCCACGCUGCAGUGGUCCCGGCGCAGUUCUUAGCGAGUUGGCACACGCACCACGGAACCCCUCGGGAUGGCUGUGCUUUGGGAGAGCCAUAGACUCGGCGCCUGGCAGGAUUCUGAGCAGCCCCGAGUGCCUGCAAGCCGCCUGGGGAAGGAAAACCUCACACAUUCGCUGAGAGAAGUUCAUUCUCUUUCCCUUUUACACGAAGGAUUCAGCAAAUCAACCGAUCAUAUGAGGCAGAUCCGAGACGUGUUUUAGAACAACUUCUUUCUGGUAUUCCUCUUGGAAGCAGAAGAACGAGGCAAGGGUUAAAAGGACUGGAAGUGAGGAAAUCUGAGAUCAAACCUUGCCUAUCUAUAAGACACUAAAUAAAUUAACA